GACUUUGAAACACCUCUAAUAGUUUAUACAAUAACAAUCUCAUUAAGCCAGUAAAUUUUUAGCUGUUCACGUUUUUUAUAAAUGUAUUUUCUUAAUGGUUUAAGGUUGGGUUUUAUAGAUUCUUUCUUUUUAGUCAACAUGCAUUUUCCGCAGCCUGGUAGGGAAAGUAUUUAAAUUGCUCAAACAUUGACUUCAUGGAUACGUGAAACAUAAAAUUCAUUAUAAGUUCUGAUUUGAUUUAAGAAAGAGAAAAUCUCUAUCUCAGAAUUUAGCAGAAAUUUUUUAU